rnacentral:rRNA from 1 species
UACGGGGGGGGGCAAGCGUUUGUUCGGAAUUACUGGGCGUAAAGGGCUCGUAGGCGGCCAACUAAGUCGGAUGUGAAAUCCCCAGGCUUAACCUGGGGAACUGCAUCCGAUACUGGAUGGCUUGAAUCCGGGAGAGGGAUGCAGAAUUCCAGGUGUAGCGGUGAAAUGCGCAGAUAUCAGGAGGAACACCAAUGGGCGAAGGCAGCUCGCUGGGACGGUACUGACGCUGGAAGCGCGAAAGCCGUGGGGAGCAAACAGG